rnacentral:rRNA from 1 species
CAAUAGCGUAUAUUAAAGUUGUUGCAGUUAAAAAGCUCGUAGUUGGAUUUCUGGUGUAAAUUGAUUGGCCCGCCACCUAGUGGUUGUAGCGCCGACUCAAUUUCACCAUCUUUCCGGUUAAGCUUUCAGGCGUUAAUUCACCUGCUAGUGGAUCCGGAUCUUUUACUUUGAAAAAAUUAGAGUGUUCAAAGCAAGCGUUUGCUUCUGAAUAUAUUAGCAUGGAAUAAUAAUAUAGGACUUCGGUUUUAUAUUGUUGGUUCAAGAACUGAAGUAAUGAUUGAUAGGGAUAGUUGGGGGUGCUAGUAUUCAGCGGCCAGAGGUGAAAUUCUAAGAUUCGCUGAAGACUAACUUAUGCGAAAGCAUUCACCAAGGAUGUCUUCUUUAA